rnacentral:rRNA from 1 species
GUGCACCAGGCGCGAAUCCUUCACAAUGCCCGAAAGGGCGAUGAGGGGACGCUGAGUGCCCUUCGGGGCUGUUCGGGUGCCUAAAAAGCACCCGGAGUAAGGGCUGGGUAAGACCGGUGCCAGCCGCCGCGGUAAUACCGGCAGCCCGAGUGGGUGGCCGCGUUUAUUGGGCCUAAAGGGUCCGUAGUCGGUCGGGUAAGUUCUUCGGGGAAACCUCGGCCGCUUCAACGGUGAGGCUUCCGGGGAAAACUGCCCGACUUGGGACC